ensembl:lncRNA
AAUCUAGACAGUGUAUUAAAAAGCUGAGACAUCACUUUACUGACAAAGGUCUGUCUACUCAAAUGCACGGUUUCUUCAGUAGUCAUGUAUGGAUGUGAAAGCUGGACCAUAAAGAAGGCUGAUUAAAGAUGGAGUUUGAAAGACAGGAGUGACUGUGGCCUGAACAAUUAAAGGACGGAGUUACAAUAGUGGAGCUGGGGAAGACCAUGGUGGAGCACUUUUGUCGGGGGAGGUCAAGAAUGCCCCUCUGGACAUGUAAGUGUGAGUCUAUCAGAGAUUUAAGUAGGGAUGCUAAGAAGUUGUCGGCUAAGAGUCUGAAGCUCAGGAAAAAGCUUUGGACUUGAACUACAGGUUUAGAGUUCUUUCUCAGGGUAAAGAUGGUAUUUAAAGCCUCAAGCCUGGAAGAAGGGCUUUCCAGGUGGAGCUAAUGGUAAAGAACCCACCUGCCAAUGCAGGAGACAUAAAAGACAUGGGUUUGAUCCCUGGGUCAGAACUGUUCUCUGGAGGAGGGCAUGGCAACCUACUCCGGUAUUCUUGCCUGGAGAAUUCCAUGGACAGAGGAGCUUCGGAGGCCCUGGUGGAGGCGCUGAGUGAGCAAGCCGGACAAAGCCUGUGCCCCUAUGCAGCUCAUUCUCCAAGGCCCUGGGCAGAUCUAACAAUCAAUCAACUGACACACAGACAAGAACAUUUCUAACUCCGCUCUGGUUAAGGGAAUCAUGAAAAGUCUCUUCCAGGAGGUGCCAUCUGAGCUGCGCCCUGAGUGCUGAACAGAUGAUGAUCGUCCCAUCUGGGGGACAAGGAUCCAGCUGGAGGGAGGCUUGCAGGGGACACAGAAGGACAGUGUGCUGUCAUGAGCCUUUCAACAGCAUUCACAAAGAAUACAAUUUCGCAAGUCUCGAUGUCCUGGAGGAUUUUCCCUUGGACACCUUUUUGUAAAAAUCUGCUUGGGGGUGGGGAGGAGCAAUCUGAGUCCCCAAAGUCUGCAAAGCACAGCCCAGAGGCAAUGAGUGAGAGCUCCGCAGACUGACCUACGCUCCCCGGGGCAAGGGGCCCGCGGCGCGAGGGCGCCGGCCGGUGCUUGGCCCACCCCGCGCCAAGGAAUGCGGGCGGAGGGCGUGGGGGACAGUCUCGCCGCCCCGCGAGGGGCCCUCGGGCAGCAGCCGGGGUGCGGGCGUGGGCGGCGGGGUCGCUCUCCUGGACGACUCAGAGCGCCCCCCACCCCCGGGACCCGGCAGGUGGACCGCGGGGCGCGCUCCCCCUCUCU